CAGGCCUAACACAUGCAAGUCGAGCGGUAUAGAGGUGCUUGCACCUCUUUAGAGCGGCGGACGGGUGAGUAAUACCUAGGAAUCUGCCUGGUAGUGGGGGAUAACGUUCGGAAACGGACGCUAAUACCGCAUACGUCCUACGGGAGAAAGCAGGGGACCUUCGGGCCUUGCGCUAUCAUAUGAGCCUAGGUCGGAUUAACUAGUUGGUGAGGUAAUGGCUCACCAAUGCUACGAUCCGUAACUGGUCUGAGAGGAUGAUCAGUCACACUGGAACUGAUACACGGUCCAGACUCCUACGGGAGGCAGCAGUGGGGAAUAUUGGACAAUGGGCGAAAGCCUGAUCCAGCCAUGCCGCGUGUGUGAAGAAGGUCUUCGGAUUGUAAAGCACUUUAAGUUGGGAGGAACGGCAUUAACCUAAUAC
rnacentral:rRNA from 1 species